UUCUGUGGCUUAGUUGGUGAAAGCGCCGGUCUAGCGAAUACUGAGUCGUGGGUUCGAAUCCCACCAGAA
rfam:Aedes albopictus isolate Foshan contig10097, whole genome shotgun sequence.